UGCCAAGCAAGUCCCUAAAGUGUGUGUCAUUAAUCAGACCUUGAAACUAAUCCAUUCUGGGGUCUCCUUACAGGAAGCCAUUUAGGCAGCAGUUCUUAUGAUGAACUAUAACUGUGUUGCUUUCACUUAACACUGUGUUCCACGUUUUCCUGCAAAUAGGGUCCUGGCUGUAUGCAAAUAAUGUCACUUUUGGGAGGCAGAACAUGUGGCAGAACUGCUAUAGGGUCUGUGCUGCUGAAGUGUUCACAAAAGCUGAGUCCAUACACACUACUUCUCGCUGCUAAGCCGCUCUCAUUUUGUGAGAACAUAUUCUCAUGUUACCCUGAAAUAUUUAUUUUACUGACUAAGAAUUAACCAUAAUGCAAGUUCUCCUCUUCCAUAUCAUUUGAUCCUAAUUUGUCUUUGAUUGCUGCCUACGUAACAUUCUAACUGUCCUAUAAAUGAUGAAUGGCUAUAAACUCCCUACAAGUGAUAAUGCUUUUUUUCUCAAGUUACUCUGAUACUCAUUUUGAAACAUUACCUUUUCAAAAUGACGGCAUAAUUAUCUCCAGAUAUGCUACUCUCUAUAAUGGUUAUUUUAUUCUGAUUCCUUGUACUUUUUUCUUGUUUGCCUUCACUGGUGAACUUCGAGUUCAACUACCUGAUCACUCCCAGGGCUAACCAAAAGUGAAAGAACGUUAUUGAGGACAUAGUCUAAAUGCCUCUAGAACAUUGGCAUGCAAGGCACUGCGGCAGCAUCAGACAUUCCUUCCUUGCACGCUGGAGGAAAGGGCAAAGCAGCAUCUGAGGAGUCUAACAGCUUGUCUGAAGCUGCGUCUCACUGUCUGCAAGAGUACAGAAUCGUUUUCAUGACCUACCCUGUUCUAAAGCAGCAGUAGUGCCAUGUUCCACACUGUUACCUCUGGCUUUCCUCUGCCACAGUCAGUGACAAGAAGGCAGCACUCACGUGGAGCCAGCUGCAUUUUCAACCACCAUAUGCUCCCCCUGGCAGAAAUGCCCUUGGGGCUUCCCCAGGCUGUUCUGAAGGGAGCAAAUCCCUCCUCAGCAGUCUUGGCUGGGUGACAGGCUGGUCUUUGCAGUAAUUCAAGAAACACUCUUGUUGGAAAGCGUAGGUUUCAAAGAUUCAUUUCUCCAAAGCAGCUGGAAUCCAAGAAAAUGUGUCAAAUCUCCACUGAAGGGAGAAACUGCUGUGCCAGCGCUAAGUUGUUCUUAUUUUAAACAGCAUAGUGAUUGGCCAUGUCGAUGUCAUUAUUUCUCUCUUCCUUGAAGUCGCUGGUUUUCCUGGGACGUGCUGCAGGGCAGUCUGUGAGCCAGCUGUCAUGCCCUGCACCAUAUGGUGGCAGCAGUCAGGAAAUCCCUGUGGGCUACUGCUGGGCUGCUGUGGGAACAGCGGCUGACUGAUGCCCAGCUACUGCCCCCCAAGAAGUGGAAGAGAGCAAGAUGAACUCCUCCUCUUUAAAAU
ensembl:lncRNA